rnacentral:miRNA from 1 species
GGAGGGAGUAAAAGAAAAAA